UACACCAAUGAUGAGAAUGUGUCAUGAACUAAGGAAUGUGAUUAAUUCACUGUAAGCCUGAGGUCCAAU
rnacentral:snoRNA from 1 species